GUGGGGAAUUUUGGACAAUGGGGGCAACCCUGAUCCAGCCAUGCCGCGUGUCUGAAGAAGGCCUUCGGGUUGUAAAGGACUUUUGUUAGGGAAGAAAAGGGAAGUGCUAAUACCACUUUUUGCUGACGGUACCUAAAGAAUAAGCACCGGCUAACUACGUGCCAGCAGCCGCGGUAAUACGUAGGGUGCGAGCGUUAAUCGGAAUUACUGGGCGUAAAGCGAGCGCAGACGGUUACUUAAGCAGGAUGUGAAAUCCCCGGGCUCAACCUGGGAACUGCGUUCUGAACUGGGUAGCUAGAGUAUGUCAGAGGGGGGUAGAAUUCCACGUGUAGCAGUGAAAUGCGUAGAGAUGUGGAGGAAUACCGAUGGCGAAGGCAGCCCCCUGGGAUAAUACUGACGUUCAUGCUCGAAAGCGUGGGUAGCAAACAGGAUUAGAUACCCGUGUAGUCC
rnacentral:rRNA from 1 species